rnacentral:rRNA from 1 species
GACGAACGCGGCGGCGUGCCUAAUACAUGCAAGUAGAACGCUGAAGGAGGAGCUUGCUUCUCCGGAUGAGUUGCGAACGGGUGAGUAACGCGUAGGUAACCUGCCUGGUAGCGGGGGAUAACUAUUGGAAACGAUAGCUAAUACCGCAUAAUAGUAGAUGUUGCAUGACAUUUGCUUAAAAGGUGCAAUUGCACCACUACCAGAUGGACCUGCGUUGUAUUAGCUAGUUGGUGGGGUAACGGCUCACCAAGGCGACGAUACAUAGCCGACCUGAGAGGGUGAUCGGCCACACUGGGACUGAGACACGGCCCAGACUCCUACGGGAGGCAGCAGUAGGGAAUCUUCGGCAAUGGACGGAAGUCUGACCGAGCAACGCCGCGUGAGUGAAGAAGGUUUUCGGAUCGUAAAGCUCUGUUGUAAGAGAAGAAACGAGUGUGAGAGUAGAAAGUUCACAACU